rnacentral:rRNA from 1 species
UACCCGCAGCCCGAGUGGUGAACACUUUUAUUGGGCCUAAAGCGUCCGUAGCCGGUCUAGUAAAUCCUUGGGUAAAUCGUAUUGCUUAACAAUACGAAUUCUGGGGAGACUGCUAGACUUGGGACUGGGAGAGGUUGGAGGUACUCCGAGGGUAGGGGUGAAAUCCUGUAAUCCUUGGAGGACCACCGGUGGCGAAGGCGUCCAACCAGAACGGAUCCGACGGUGAGGGACGAAGCCGUGGGGCACAAACCGG